GGGCUCGGAGGCAGGCGGCUCGGGUUUCCCCUCCGCAUUGCUCAUGGGAUCAACCGGGAGGGGAUGGUAGUGUUGUAAAGUAAAGUAAAGUAAAGUAAAGUAAAGAGACAAACAAAAAAUCCAAAUAAUUUCACUAGUUCCAUUGCAUGGUGGGAGAACCACUUAUAUACAAGAUGAAUGAGUGUGUUGGGGAGACAUCUUUUCCCCAAGAGGCACCUCCUGGGAGGCUUCCCUUCCAUAUAAUUGAUCACAUGUUUAUUUCUCAACAGUCCCCUUUGAUCAGUUCGU
rnacentral:lncRNA from 1 species